CAAAAUGUAGCUUAAUGAAAAAGCCUUUUGCUUACACCGAAAAGAUGUCUGUACAACCCAGAUCAUUUUGAG
rnacentral:tRNA from 2 species